UACGGGGGGGGUAAGCGUUGUUCGGAAUUACUGGGCGUAAAGGGCUCGUAGGCGGCCAACUAAGUCAUACGUGAAAUCCCUCAGCUUAACUGGGGAACUGCGUGUGAUACUGGAUGGCUUGGAUUUGGGAGAGGGAUGCGGAAUUCCAGGUGUAGCGGUGAAAUGCGUAGAUAUCUGGAGGAACACCGGUGGCGAAGGCGGCUCGCUGGGCCAGUUCUGACACUCAUCCGCGAAAGCGUGGGGAGCAAACAGG
rnacentral:rRNA from 1 species